UAGGACAAAGGGUUAUUUAAGAAAUAUU
rnacentral:piRNA from 1 species